AUCUGGGCGGCGGAAUUCAAGACGGCUGGCGAGUCUAGCGCUCGUUCGGCCGUUUGAUAUUUCCGUCGCCGUGUCAGACGUCGCGACCUGUUUGUCGUCGGUCCUUGCUCGGAGGAAUUGCGAUCGAGUUCGUUGCGGGCGCGUUUCGGCGUGCUUCGCGGCGAAGGCGCGACUCUCUGGCUGACGACGGACAGUAAGCAACGGUGUCUGGCGCCGUGUCUCGCACUCGGCGUCGGUGCCGGUCAGCGACGAUUUCUUCGGGCCUCUUUCCGACCCGUCUUGAAACACGGACCAAGGAGUCUAACAUGCGCGCGAGUCGCGGGGUUUCGAGCGUACCACGGUGCGCUCGUUACUUCCGAAACCCGUACGUUGAAGGCGUAAUGAAAGUGAACAGGGAAGAUGGCGUUCCGAGUCCACGUACCGUGAUCGAGUAUCGCGGCCGGACGUCCGCACUCCCGGGGCGUCUCAAUGGUUCGCCACGGAUGCGGACGAUCGUCUUUCGGGACGGUCGUCGGUCUGUGGCGGUCCGA
rnacentral:rRNA from 1 species